rnacentral:rRNA from 1 species
GUCUAUGGCCACGCCACCCUGAACGCGCCUGAUCACUUCUGAUCUCUGAAGCUAAGCAGGGUAGGGCUUCGUUAGUACUUGGAUGGGAGACCAACCUGGGAAUACCAGGUGCUGUAGGCA